AUUGAACGCUGGCGGCAGGCCUAACACAUGCAAGUCGAACGGUAACAGGAAGCAGCUUGCUGCUUCGCUGACGAGUGGCGGACGGGUGAGUAAUGUCUGGGAAACUGCCUGAUGGAGGGGGAUAACUACUGGAAACGGUAGCUAAUACCGCAUAACGUCGCAAGACCAAAGAGGGGGACCUUAGGGCCUCUUGCCAUCGGAUGUGCCCAGAUGGGAUUAGCUAGUAGGUGGGGGAACGGCUCACCUAGGCGACGAUCCCCAGCUGGUCUGAGAGGAUGACCAGCCACACUGGAACUGAGACACGGUCCAGACUCCUACGGGAGGCAGCAGUGGGGAAUAUUGCACAAUGGGCGCAAGCCUGAUGCAGCCAUGCCGCGUGUAUGAAGAAGGCCUUCGGGUUGUAAAGUACUUUCAGCGGGGAGGAAGGGAGUAAAGUUAAUACCUGUGCUCAUUGACGUUACCCGCAGAAGAAGCACCGGCUAACUCCGUG
rnacentral:rRNA from 1 species